CGCGUGGGCAACCUGCCUCAUACAGGGGGAUAGCAUCGGGAAACUGGUGGUAAAACCGCAUAAGCGCACGAAGACGCAUGUAUUCGUGUGAAAAGGAGAAAUCUGGUAUGAGAUGGACCCGCGUCUGAUUAGCUAGUUGGAGUGGUAAAAGCACACCAAGGCGACGAUCAGUAGCCGGCCUGAGAGGGUGGACGGCCACAUUGGGACUGAGACACGGCCCAGACUCCUACGGGAGGCAGCAG
rnacentral:rRNA from 1 species